AGAGAGAGAGAGAAAUCUCUCUGUUCAUGUUCAAAAUAGGUUCUUAGCCUCCACCGCCCCAAAGAAAUGGAAGAGAAGCUGAAAUGCUGCAAAAACAAUAUCAAACUAAAUAAUUCUUGGCUUUUGAGUUUCCAAGGCCCAGGUCCUGAUGAUCUAUAGGAUUUUCUGAGAGUGAUUUUUUUUAUUGGUUCUUGGUGAUUUUCACUUUUCACACUAUACUGACCGUUAAGUGAUACAAUUCUUGAUAUUAAAUUCUGUGAAGAUAACCGGUGUGGUUUCUGUUUUCUCGCUAGACUCUGACAGACACAGACCAUGGACCCUGAUGUAUGGUAUCUCCCCCAUACCAAUAGUGACAAAAGAAGACAUCCAAAUUAGUGAAUAUAUAUGUUCUGAUGGUGACAGGCGGGACUGGCCUUUUCCAAAUUAUACUUUGUGUUAGUUACCUAUUGCUGCAAAUUACCCUAAAGUUUAAGCGUUUUAAAACAACUUUUAUUAUCUCACAGUUUCUGAAGGUCAUGGAUCCAGGUGCAACUUAGCUGAGUCCUCUAUUUCAGGCUCUUUCACAGGCUGCAAUCAAGGCAUUGUCCGUGGCUGUAGUCAUCUCAAGGCCUGACUGAGGAAGGAUUCACUUCCAAGCUCCCUCAGGUGGUUGUUGGCAGAUUCAGUUCCUCGUGAGCUGUUGGACUGAAAGCCUCGAUUUCCUCCUCACUGCCCACUGGCCAGAGGCCACCCUCCGUGCCUUGGCACAUGGGCUUCUCCAUAGGGCAGCUCCCAACACGGCCGCUGGCUUCAUCAGAGCAAAUAAGAGAAACAAGUCAUGGACAGGGAGUGCAAGCAAGAUGAAAGUCACAGCCUUUAAUAGCCCAAUCACAAAAGUAACAUUCUCUCACUUUUGCCAUAUUUUGUUCAUUAGAAGCAAGUCACUGGGUCCAGCCCACACUCAGAGGGAAGGGACCACACGAGAACACAUGGUAUGCCUACUACAUACUUGAACACUUAGAGUGUCUUUUCAAUAACAGAAACAGCAUUUUAGAAUGUUACUUGUCUAAUAUGGAGAUUUUCUAAAUCGGUUGGGGAACUCCCACACCCAUUUCUCACAAGCCACAGUCCCCCUGUCCCCUCCGCCCGUGAAGCUAACAUCUACGGCAUCAUGGCAUCUCAUUCCCACCAGACUUAGCAGAAAGCCCCAGCUAGGUGAGUGAGUGCCAGACUGUGGGGAGGGAGCAGCUGUUUGAGCAUGAGCGCAACAUAGACACUUCCAGAAGCCAAGUGUCAGAGGAGGGAGGGAACCCAUCACCCAUCUAUUAAAAAGGCUCACAUGGUCCCUGCCUCAAGGGCACUCUCAUUGCUUUUUCUUUUCAUUCUCAUUGCUUUUUUUUCUUAACCGGACCAACAAGGCCUAGCCAGAUGUGGCUCAUUUGCUCUCUCCAGGCUCAUUCAAGGCUUUCUUCUCAGCUGUCCACACUCAACCACACCCCACCGCGGCCUUUCUCUCCUCAUUGUAUUUGGCUGUGCUCUUUCCUCUGCUGGACCCUCAGCUCUGCCCCCAAAGCUUCACCUGCCUAACUCCUACUGAGCCUUCAGCCUCAGCAUGGACCCCACCUCCUUGCAGAGGCCUUCCCUGAGCCUCCAGACUAGGCCAGGUCCCCUCCCUGGAGAUUUCUGAUUUCGGCCAGGAGUAGCAUUUCCAACAAGCCCCCAAGUGAUUUUUUAAAAAGUAGAAGUUUGGAAGACUCUGCACACCGCUGCCCGGGGCUCUCACAGCACUCUUCAUUCUCCCGUCUCACUGGGCACACCUGGAACUGAUUAGUUACCUCCCUAAUGGCUGGGUCCACAUCUGUCUCGUCCAAGCCCAGUGGAGGUGGGCAAGAGGCUCAGCUUGGUUCUGGAGGAGGCAGAGGCUACAGGACAUCCAGGUUCCACUGAGAACAAUCAGGAUGCUGGGGAGAGUCAGAGAUCCAGAACUAGGAGAGAUCUUCCAAAGCUCCUGCAGAAAACCAGGAUCUCUGGGCUCCUUCAGCCAACAAACAUUUCCUGGGCACCCAGCAGGGAUACAGCCAUGAUUGAGGCAGACCCCAUCCCUGCUCUCCUAGAGCCUACAAUUCAGCACGUGGCUUGCUGGGAGGAUACACGUCCACCCAUUGUUUCUAUUUCCAACCCUUUGCAGACUUCUCUGAUAAGUCUGCCUGAGCACAGUGGUCCUGACACAGCUGCAUGAUGAGUGGCACCGCUUUGUGAGGCUGUUGGACUAGCGAGGCUUUCCCUGAGUGUGGGUAAGCGAGGACUAGCAGGAACGUUGUACCCAAGCCAAUUGCUCACUUAUUAAAAUUUUGUUGAUUAAAGGAGCAAAAUGCUUAUAAUUAUGCAU
ensembl:lncRNA